ensembl:lncRNA
ACUAGACCUGGUGCAGCCAAAUUAAUUGAUUUAAUGCAAGAAAUUUUAAAAAGAAAACUAGAGAGAAGUCACUGUGGCAUUGGAAGACACGGGAAGUUAAUAAAGGGUAAAGUAAAGAGAAGAUGAGGAAGAUGAUAGCAGCCAGUGGAACCAACACUGGGCUGGCGUGGACUGGGAUUGAUAGUAACCUGCUGUGUGACCUUAGGGAACUCACCAGACUUUUCUGGGCUUCAGAGGCCUUUCAGCAUCAUCAUUCCAAUGAAGGCUCAUCUAUGCAACCCUAGGAGCUGCCCAGAACCUCCACACUAGCUCUGCUCAGCUUCACAGGACAGUAAACUUUCCCACCAGCACUGGACGUGCCGAUAGUUCACUUGGGUGCCCAAGGAUGCCUGUUAAAAUCGCUGUUCUAUGAGACAUGCUUUUGAGAGGAGUUCAAACACCCACUAGAAGAAGCCUCUGGUGGGACAAGUGUCUGAAAAAGGAAGUGGCUGACCCAUGAAGGCAGUGGCUCUCUGUCUUCUGUUGAGAGAACUCGCGCGGUCGGCUGCACUUCUGAACCCUCUGGAACUUAGCUUUUAACAGAAUUGCCUCGACCUUGGAAGUGUUUGUUACUUUUCAACGGAGGAAUUCGUGUUGCAUCGCUGUAAUGCUGUCAUGGGCCAGAGCACAAAUGUUUUGUGUUUGGUAUAUAUAUGUGUGUGUUGUUUAUUUUUUUUUAAG